rnacentral:lncRNA from 1 species
CAUUAUUUGUGCGAGGGAUGACAAAACUAAAAUGAUGGUUCUUCUUAAGAGAGAAAUGUAUGAUUCGUAUUUAAAUGCAUUCAUACAGGAGAGUAAUAGCCAGGAGAUACCUAACCACCCAACUGAAAGACUAAAUAGGCAAGUCCACGUUAUAUUAAGAAAUAAUAAACUCCCCCCCUUUUUAAGAGCUGCUUAUGUCAGGUCACCAGCCACCGCCAAGACUGUUUGCGUUCAUCAAGCGGCAUAAAUACCCAAUCGAGGCAAGACCAGUUGUGGAGAGGACCUUUGCACCUAUCUAUCAGUUAGAAAAGAGAUUAGCUAAAUGGUGUUUAAGUAAGA